UGGGGAAUCUUGGACAAUGGGCGAAAGCCUGACCCAGCAACGCCGCGUGAAGGAUGAAGUAUUUCGGUAUGUAAACUUCGUAAGAAUAGGAAGAAUAAAUGACGGUACUAUUUGUAAGGUCCGGCUAACUACGUGCCAGCAGCCGCGGUAAUACGUAGGGACCAAGCGUUGUUCGGAUUUACUGGGCGUAAAGGGCGCGUAGGCGGUGUGUCAAGUCAGUUGUGAAAUCUCCGAGCUUAACUCGGAACGGUCAACUGAUACUGUCACACUAGAGUACAGAAGGGGCAAUCGGAAUUCUUGGUGUAGCGGUGAAAUGCGUAGAUAUCAAGAGGAACACCUGAGGCGAAGGCGGGUUGCUGGGCUGAUACUGACGCUGAGUGCGCGAAAGCUAGGGUAGCAAACGGGAUUAGAUACCCUCGUAGUCCCUGAGCGGGCUGGCAAGGCGCAU
rnacentral:rRNA from 1 species